UACGAAGGGGGCUAGCGUUGCUCGGAAUCACUGGGCGUAAAGCGCACGUAGGCGGACUCUUAAGUCGGUGGUGAAAUCCUGGAGCUCAACUCCAGAACUGCCUUCGAUACUGAGAGUCUCGAGUCCGGGAGAGGUGAGCGGAACUGCGAGUGUAGAGGUGAAAUUCGUAGAUAUUCGCAAGAACACCAGUGGCGAAGGCGGCUCACUGGCCCGGUACUGACGCUGAGGUGCGAAAGCGUGGGGAGCAAACAGG
rnacentral:rRNA from 1 species